rnacentral:rRNA from 1 species
CCUACGGGGGGCAGCAGUGGGGAAUAUUGGACAAUGGGGGGAACCCUGAUCCAGCCAUGCCGCGUGUGUGAAGAAGGCCCUCGGGUUGUAAAGCACUUUCAGUGAGGAAGAACGCCUGGUGGUUAAUACCCAUCAGGAAAGACAUCACUCACAGAAGAAGCACCGGCUAACUCCGUGCCAGCAGCCGCGGUAAUACGGAGGGUGCGAGCGUUAAUCGGAAUUACUGGGCGUAAAGCGCGCGUAGGUGGCUUGAUAAGCCGGUUGUGAAAGCCCCGGGCUCAACCUGGGAACGGCAUCCGGAACUGUCGAGCUAGAGGGCAGGAGAGGAAGGUAGAAUUCCCGGUGUAGCGGUGAAAUGCGUAGAGAUCGGGAGGAAUACCAGUGGCGAAGGCGGCCUUCUGGACUGACACUGACACUGAGGUGCGAAAGCGUGGGUAGCAAACAGGAUUAGAUACCCCUGUAGUC